rnacentral:tRNA from 1 species
GUUAGCGCAGCUGGUAGAGCGCUCCACUGUGAAGGGAGAGGUCCUUGGUUCAAUACCAGGAC